rnacentral:rRNA from 1 species
AACGGCCGCGGUAUCCUAACCGUGCAAAGGUAGCAUAAUCACUUGCCUAUUAAUUGUAGGCUAGAAUGAAGGGGUUAACGAAAUAAAAGCUGUCUCAAUUAAUUACCUAAAAAUUAUUCUCUAUCUGAAGAAAGGUAGAUAAACUCGAAGGACAAGAAGACCCUAUAGAGCUUAAUUUUAAUUAUAGAACUACACUAUAAAAAUAUUCGGUUGGGGCGACCCAGGGCUAAUUAAUCACCCAUUAAAUAUAAGAUAUAUAAAUCAACUAAAUGACCCUUCAAAGAUCAUAAAAACAAGCUACCUUAGGGAUAACUGGAUAAUCCCACUCAAGAGUCCUUAUCAACUGUGGGGUUUGGCACCUCGAUGUUGGCUUAGG